rnacentral:rRNA from 1 species
UCCAGACUCCUACGGGAGGCAGCAGUGGGGAAUAUUGCACAAUGGGGGAAACCCUGAUGCAGCAACGCCGCGUGAGUGAAGAAGCAUUUCGGUAUGUAAAGCUCUCUCAGCAGGGAAGAGAAUGACGGUACCUGACUAAGAAGCCCCGGCUAACUACGUGCCAGCAGCCGCGGUAAUACGUAGGGGGCGAGCGUUAUCCGGAUUUACUGGGUGUAAAGGGAGCGUAGACGGUUCUGCAAGUCUGAAGUGAAAGCCCGUGGCUUAACCGCGGAACGGCUUUGGAAACUGUGGAACUGGAGUGCUGGAGAGGCAAGCGGAAUUCCUAGUGUAGCGGUGAAAUGCGUAGAUAUUAGGAGGAACACCGGUGGCGAAGGCGGCUUACUGGACAGUGACUGACGUUGAGGCUCGAAAGCGUGGGGAGCGAACAGGAUUAGAUACCCCUGUA